UUGUUUAACAAUGGGGGAUACAUUCUGAGAAAUGUGUUGCUAGGUGAUUUUAUUAUUGUUAGGACAUCACAGAGUGUACUUACACAAACCUAGAUGGUAUAGCCUACUACAUACUUGGCUAUGUGGUAGAGCCAUUGCUCCUAGGCUGCAAACCUGUACAGCAUGGUACUGUGCUGAAUACUGUAGGCAACUGUAACACAAUGCUUUAACAACAACCACUGUUUGUUAGACACUAUGCCUGGAGAACAGAUGGAAGGAGGAUUGAUUGGAAGCUGUGAGACCAGUUAGGUAGCGACACUGACAGUGAUUUAAGUGAGAGAUAAUGAGUGUCUGAGGGUGAUACCGGAAGAGUUAAAGAGGAGGAAGCAGCUACAAGAGAUGAUGUAUUUGCAAAAUAAAAAGGACUAACUAGAUGAACAAGAUUAA